rnacentral:rRNA from 1 species
UACGGAGGGUGCAAGCGUUAUCCGGAUUCACUGGGUUUAAAGGGUGCGUAGGUGGGCUAGUAAGUCAGUGGUGAAAUCUCCGGGCUUAACCUGGGAACUGCAUUUUAGACUGUGUGACUGGAGUACUGUAGAGGACAGUGGAAUUUCCGGUGUAGCGGUGAAAUGCGUUGAUAUGUGGAGGAAUACCGAUGGCGAAGGCAGCCCCCUGGGAUAACACUGACGCUCAUGCACGAAAGCGUGGGGAGCAAACAGG